rnacentral:tRNA from 1 species
GCAGUGGUGGUUCAGCGGUAGAAUUUCCGCUUUGCAUGGGGGAGGUCUGGAUUUGAUUCCCGGCCAGUGCA